rnacentral:rRNA from 1 species
AUUGAACGCUGGCGGCAGGCUUAACACAUGCAAGUCGAACGGUAACAGGCCGCAAGGUGCUGACGAGUGGCGAACGGGUGAGUAAUGCAUCGGAACGUGCCCAGUCGUGGGGGAUAACGCAGCGAAAGCUGCGCUAAUACCGCAUACGAUCUCUGGAUGAAAGCGGGGGACCGAAAGGCCUCGCGCGAUUGGAGCGGCCGAUGUCAGAUUAGGUAGUUGGUGGGGUAAAGGCUCACCAAGCCAACGAUCUGUAGCUGGUCUGAGAGGACGACCAGCCACACUGGGGCUGAGACACGGCCCAGACUCCUACGGGAGGCAGCAGUGGGGAAUUUUGGACAAUGGGCGCAAGCCUGAUCCAGCAAUGCCGCGUGCAGGAAGAAGGCCUUCGGGUUGUAAACUGCUUUUGUACGGAACGAAACGGUCCUGGUUAAUACCCGGGGCUAAUGACGGUACCGUAAGAAUAAGCACCGGCUAACUACGUGCCAGCCGCCGCCGUAAGAC